GUAUUUUGUAAAGUUGUUCUAGUUUUGUAACUAAAAUGGUUUGGCAGUGAGCGAUUCUUAUUAGGGGAAUAUGCAUAGUGAAGGAUGGUCCACCUAUUAGUUUACUCUUUUUAUGUUGGUGUAUGUCUGGUUUGAUAUUAUUGUUGAAUAAUUUAAGUUUGUGUAGUUUUAGUUAAGCUAAGUCUAUGUGCUGCUUAUGGGAGUUUUUGUGUGUUACAUUAAUAAGGGUGUUAUUGUAAGAUGAUGUGAUUUA
rnacentral:rRNA from 1 species